UACAGAGGGGGGCAAGCGUUGUUCGGAAUUACUGGGCGUAAAGGGCGCGUAGGCGGCCCGCUAAGUCGAACGUGAAAUCCCCGGGCUCAACCCGGGAACUGCGUCCGAUACUGGCAGGCUUGAAUCCGGGAGAGGGAUGCGGAAUUCCAGGUGUAGCGGUGAAAUGCGUAGAUAUCUGGAGGAACACCGGUGGCGAAGGCGGGUCUCUGGGCCGAUACUGACGCUGAGGAGCGAAAGCGUGGGGAGCGAACAGG
rnacentral:rRNA from 1 species